rnacentral:rRNA from 1 species
GUGCCAGCAGCCGCGGUAAUACGAAGGGGGCAAGCGUUGUUCGGAUUUACUGGGCUUAAAGGGCGCGCAGGCGUCCCUUCAAGUCAGAUGUGAAAGCCCCGGGCUCAACCUGGGAACUGCAUUUGAGACUGAAGGGCUCGAGUUCGGGAGAGGAUGGCGGAAUUCCCAGUGUAGAGGUGAAAUUCGUAGAUAUUGGGAAGAACACCGGUGGCGAAGGCGGCCAACUGGACCACAACUGACGCUGAGGCGCGAAAGCGUGGGGAGCAAACAGGAUUAGAUACCCUCGUAGUCC